AGCGAACGCUGGCGGCAGGCCUAACACAUGCAAGUCGAACGGGCACUUCGGUGCUAGUGGCAGACGGGUGAGUAACGCGUGGGAACGUGCCUUUCGGUUCGGAAUAAUCCAGGGAAACUUGGACUAAUACCGGAUACGCCCUUCGGGGGAAAGAUUUAUCGCCAUUGGAGCGGCCCGCGUCUGAUUAGCUAGUUGGUGGGGUAAAGGCCCACCAAGGCGACGAUCAGUAGCUGGUCUGAGAGGAUGAUCAGCCACAUUGGGACUGAGACACGGCCCAAACUCCUACGGGAGGCAGCAGUGGGGAAUCUUGCGCAAUGGGCGAAAGCCUGACGCAGCCAUGCCGCGUGAAUGAUGAAGGUCUUAGGAUUGUAAAAUUCUUUCACCGGGGACGAUAAUGACGGUACCCGGAGAAGAAGCCCCGGCUAACUUCGUGCCAGCAGCCGCAGUAAAAC
rnacentral:rRNA from 1 species